rnacentral:rRNA from 1 species
GGAAUCUUCCACAAUGGACGCAAGUCUGAUGGAGCAACGCUGCGUGAGUGAGGAAGGUCUUCGGAUCGUAAAACUCUGUUGUUAGAGAAGAACACGAGUGAGAGUAACUGUUCAUUCGAUGACGGUAUCUAACCAGCAAGUCACGGCUAACUACGUGCCAG